rnacentral:rRNA from 1 species
AAUGAACGUUGGCGGCGUGGAUUAGGCAUGCAAGUCGCGCGAGAAGUUUCCUUCGGGAGACGGACAGCGGCGGAAGGGAGAGGAAUAAGUAGAAAUCUGCCCUCGGGACGGGGAUAGCGGCGGGAAACUGCCGGUAAUACCCGAUAACAUCUUUGGAUCAAAUGGUGUGAUUCCGCCUGAGGAUGAGUCUACUUCCUAUUAGCUAGUUGGUGUGGUAAUGGCUCACCAAGGCAACGAUGGGUAGCGGGUGUGAGAGCACGAUCCGCCUCACUGGGACUGAGACACUGCCCAGACACCUACGGGUGGCUGCAGUCGAGAAUCUUCGGCAAUGGGGGAAACCCUGACCGAGCGACGCCGCGUGCGGGAUGAAGGCCCUCGGGUUGUAAACCGCUGUCGUAAGGGAACAAAUCUAAGAGGGUACUCCCUUUUAGUUGAGUGAUCUUAGGAGGAAGGACGGGCUAAGUUCGUGCCAGCAGCCGCGGUAAUGUCUGUACU